UUAAAUUGAAGAGUUUGAUCAUGGCUCAGAUUGAACGCUGGCGGCAGGCCUAACACAUGCAAGUCGAGCGGUAGC
rnacentral:rRNA from 1 species